AAUUAGUGAACCUUGAAGAAAGUACAACGGCUCCUUUUCACCCUCUCAUGGUAGACUUCCAUGGUUUAAUUAGUGAACCUUGAAGAAAUGGUUUAAUUAGUGAACCUUGAAGAAAGCCACCAAAUUUCUGAUUUAUUUAAAGGAGGACUUUAUUUAUCUCCUGGCAUGUACAUGGAGGGAAGCAUAUAGCCCAGGAUGGGUGUUGUCUUCUGUAAAGGAAAAUGUUGACAUGUCUUAUGUUUAACAUUGUUGUUUGGGUUGUAGGAUUGGUUCAAAGAGAGCAAAGCAGGAUAUAAAAACUCAUAUUUGAGCAGAGUGCAUGCACAUGUUUACUUUUUAUUCAUGGAAAUGGUUAUAUGCAUUUAUGAACCCGAGGGAGGUGCCAGAGACGAGGAUGCCACAAACUAUUGACUUGAGCGGACGUGCCUGCAGUGACCUGGGGUGUCAUUGCCGACUUCGUCGUAGCACAUGACUGAAGAUGAGCGUGUUGCUGCAUUCUCUCUUCGCAGAAUAAGUGGUGUCGUUCAACAUCAUAUUGGAUAAUUGCUACCAAGGUAUAGGCAGUCUGCUUAGUUUGGUCUUUAUAUAUUGUGGAUUCUUAAUGGAGGUACAAAAAAGGAUGGAUGUUUUCAGUGGGGAUGAUAGUAAGGAACGGGCUGAUCCUAGCUUUGUGGAAAAUGUCUUUCGUAUGCUCGAUUUCUGGAACCAUUUAUGCAAACUUUUCGGAUGGCUGAGUGGAAAACUGUCCCAACUGUUCCACUUGUUGCCAUACAUUUAAUGGGUGCUGAGGGCAAUAAUCACAAUAGUCUUUCUUCGCAUGUUGCUUGUGAGCUUGAUGCUCUUAUAGUGGAAAAUGACUGGGUGUCUUAUAUAUGUUUCUCUUCUAAAUCCUAACUUUCUUUCUCAGAUAGGAUUUUUCAUGUUGGCAUCAAGUAUAUUUUUUUUUUGCUAGCCAAAGAGGAAAAAGAGGGGUAAUACUUAUGCUCUUUGUAAUCUUCGGGACGGAGUGACGAUGCUGGAGUAUUUUUAUUUUUAUUUGCACUACUAGCAUGAGCAUACACAUUCUUAUUUGUACGGUUAUGGAUUAAGCCAGCAAAUAGUUUCCAAUGCUUACUCAUGUUCUGAGGAUAAUUCAUUGCCGUAUCACUGGUUCAGUUAAGCUGCUAUGCACAUUAUCGGGUUUCAGAAGGGAAGUGGCUCAUACACAU